rnacentral:rRNA from 1 species
CUGGACAUCGCAACGUCCAGUAUGCCAGGAGACUUGAGCCGGUGGGUUAUGAAACUUUAUGACCCUGAAAGAUCACAACUGAUCAUCCCGGAGAGGGACAAGAUUCCAGUUGAUGCAGCUAGUGUUCAUAGGAUAUGUGGUCUGCCAAACAGGGGGAGGAAAGUGUGCUAUGAAAAUAGAGCAGAAUACACAACUCAAAUGAAUGCAAUCUUGAAGAUUACUACCAAAGGUUCACCAUCACUGACAUCAUGGUGCAAAAUGAUUAAGACAUGGCUGGGGCAGCAGAUGACAAUUUCUUGUGCGCUUGGUUGGCAGUUGCUUUCUCGUGUUUCCUUGCUCCUACAACAAGUUUGA